UACGAAGGGGGCUAGCGUUGCUCGGAAUCACUGGGCGUAAAGGGCGCGUAGGCGGUUCUUUAAGUCAGGGGUGAAAUCCUGGAGCUCAACUCCAGAACUGCCUUUGAUACUGAAGAUCUUGAGUCCGGGGGAGGUGAGUGGAACUGCGAGUGUAGAGGUGAAAUUCGUAGAUAUUCGCAAGAACACCAGUGGUGAAGGCGGCUCACUGGCACGGUACUGACGCUGAGGCACGAAAGCGUGGGGAGCAAACAGG
rnacentral:rRNA from 1 species